ACUUCAGGGCCAGUGCUCUAUCCACGGUGCCACUUAGCUGCCCGCAUAACCAAUUUUUAAUAAAUGCUUUUUUAUUGAUAGAUGUUCACAUGCUGCAGACCCCCCAGAGGGCCCUGAAAAUAAUUAAAGGAAAAAAAACAAUUCAUCUACCUGCCUUCCUGACCAAAGCCAAUAAAGUAGUGCUGAGCCAAAGAAGUGAUACAUUCCAAAUAUUUCCAAAACCAGAGUGUGAAAGGUUGUCAGAAUCUAUCACUAUAAUGUUUAAAUUUGACUAGAAGAAAAAAAAUAUAUAUAUAUGGAAUUCUUGCAUAUGAUGCCUAAAGAGAUUCACCUUUUGGACCAAGUAGUGUAACUGUCUAUGUUUUAAGCAUGAGGAAACAAGUUAAUAAAAAAAAUUCUGUUGAGAAACAUGA